UGCCUCAGUUCCAGACCUGGGAGGAGUUCAGCCGGGCGGCCGAGAAGCUCUACCUGGCGGACCCCAUGAAGGUACGGGUGGUUCUCAAAUACAGGCAUGUUGAUGGGAAUUUGUGUAUCAAAGUAACGGAUGAUCUAGUUUGUUUGGUGUACAGAACAGACCAAGCGCAAGACGUAAAGAAGAUUGAGAAAUUCCACAGUCAGUUAAUGCGACUUAUGGUGGCCAAGGAAUCCCGCAAUGUCACUAUGGAAAC
rnacentral:lncRNA from 1 species